GCGCGCCCGGUGGCCGUUGGCGCUCGCGCCGCGUCUUUCUUCUCGUACGCAGAACUCGGGCGGCGGCCUAUGCGUUUGCGAUUCGACGAGGAGUCGUCCGGGUGGUCGGCGGCGGCGGGCAGCUGCUCCGCCCCGCUCCGGGGGAGGCGGCGGCGGCAGCGGCCGCGGGAUUUGGAGCGGCCGGGGAGGCGGGGGUGGCCGGGGCCGGCUUGGAGGCCUGGCGCCACCCUUCGGGGCCUGCAAGGACCCAGUUGGGGGGGCAGGAGGGGGCCGGAGGAUGGUUGGUUGUGGGAUUUCUACUUUGCCUUUUCCUCCUUAUGCCGCCUUAGUGAGGGGCGGGAGCUCUGGCGGCAGCCCCGGGGUGGGGAGACGAGCUCCGGAGUCGGAAGAGCUGGGUUUUCUUCCGGGCCUAGCCACCAGUUGGCGGAGUGACCUUAGGCGAGUCACUCUGUAAUUUGUCUGCGCCUCAGUUUCCUCCUCUGCCUAUCAAUGUGUGUGGGGUUGAAAUCGCUUUGUAAACUAUAAAGCGUGGGUGUACGUAAAGGAUGGUUAUUGUUUAUAAUUUUUUUUGAGUUGUAAGAAAACUUAGCAGUUCCCCAAUCCUUGGGUUUUGAACCUGGGAACCUUGGAUUGGAGUUGGGGAUCCCCAAACUUCCUGAAAUUGUGGGAAUGUGCGGUUUGGGGGAAUGAUGGGAAUUUGUGGGAAUGUGCGUUUUAGGGGAAUGAUGAUCCAUCGCUAGCAAGUUUUCCAAGGGGGCUGUGACCCAGAAGAGUUAAGAAUCACAAUUUCUUCAUGCUACAGAGAGGAAACUGAGGCCUAGAUGUCAUUUGGGACCCUUCACAACCAUUUUGAAGCCCUGUUUGAGUCCCUGGGAUAUGUGAGCUGUUUCUAUGCAUAAUGGAUAUUCGGGGUUAACAACAGUCCCCUGCUUGGCUUCUAUUCUGAAUCCUUUUCUUUCACCAUGGGGUGCCUGAAGGGUGGCUGAUGCAUAUGGUACAAUGGCACCCAGUGUAAAGCAGCUACAAUUAGGAGUGGAUGUGUUCUGUAGCAUCCUAUUUAAAUAAGCCUAUUUUAUCCUUUGGCCCGUCAACUCUGUUAUCUGCUGCUUGUACUGGUGCCUGUACUUUUCUGACUCUCAUUGACCAUAUUCCACGACCAUGGUUGUCAUCCAUUACUUGAUCCUACUUUACAUGUCUAGGCUGUGUGGUUGGUGGUGAAUAGGCUUCUUUUUACAUGGUGCUGCCAGCCCAGCUAAUUAAUGGUGCACGUGGACUUUUAGCAAGCGGGCUCACUGGAAGAGACUGAACCUGGCAUGGAAUUCCUGAAGAUGUUUGGGGUUUUUUUCUUUCUUAAUCGAAAGUUAACAUUGUCUGAAAAGUUUUGUUAGAACUACUGCGGAACCUCAAAAUCAGUAGAUUUGGAAGUGAUUCAAAGCUAAACUUUUUCCUUGGCCCUCCUUGUGUUCUAAUUGCUUGCAAGUGUAAUACUAGGAUGUCCAAGAUGCCAGUUUUUGCUUCUUUGUUAGUUGUCAGCUGCUUUUAUCAAAUUUCAGGCCAUUAUCCAACAAACACUAUAAAAAUGUUUGAACAAUUGGAUUUCAAACAUUUUCGUUUUGUGGAGUGGUGCUCACCAAGUGGUACAGCCCUAAGCAAGUGAACACAAACACAUUUAAGUGUAUUUUGUCUGAUUAGAUGUUAGCCAGUUAUGCUAUUUCAUUCAAAUGUCUGAAAAAAUCAAUUGACUAUUCCCUUUUCCUAAAGGGCAGAGACAGAUAAUCUCACUUCCAGAGAAAUGACUUGGAGAAAAAAAAGUGUUGGUCUUUUUGCUCUUUUGUAAUUAAAUCCGGAUGUACCUCAAAAGACUUAAGACUGUGGUGAUAAGAUGCUUUCCUCAGCAGAAAGGAGGGAAAAAAAACAACUGGAACUCAAAGCUUGAAAUUCUGUGGCAAAACAUGAGAUGUCCAGGAUUGGAGGUUGAAAAGAUUUCACUACAGUGUUCUGCAAUAGUUGGAGCAGAUAACUUUCAGUGUAGCCACAGCCAUGGACUCCAGAUUUCCAGAUUUUCAAGACCUGGACCUGGAACCCGAAAGAGCUUGUCACGAUGCGGCAGGAACACUGGAGGUAGAUUUUUUUUUAUUUUUGAAUUUUGGGACUGUUGACCUUGCUGUGAGAAAAGAGACAACGACUGAGCAAGCACUACCACCAGCACUGUUACUGGGAAUUAGAAGACCUGAGUUUCUGUCCAGACCCUCAGUGCAAACUGAGGAUGCUCCAUCCAAAGUGAAUUAUGGUACUUGCCAUUUUCCAAAAUGCCUUAUCCUUUACCAUCUCUGCACUUUUGUUCAUACUCUCAUUCUACUUUGGAACUGCUGCUCUGUGGCUUUUCAUCUGUCAAAACUGCCAUUUUCUCAGUAUCCAACUCUUAUGCCCUCUUUUCCAUGAGUCUCCUAACUAGCCAGAAUAGAGCUUUAAAGUUUUAUGACAUUUCGUUAUGUAUCCUCUAUCUGUAUACAAAAUCCUGUAAAAUAGUUACUUGCCUGCAUUUACUGUCUUUGCAGAUAGCAGACUCCUUGAAAGCAGGGUCCUUGUUUAGUGCAUCUUUGCCCACAUACACCACAACAUAUCAAGAUGCAUUUAUUAGGAAGGAGGAGUUUAGAGAGCAGGCUAUCAGAAUAACCACUCAGUAAGUGUUUUCUUAAUUGCUAUGUGAUAACUUACAUUACUCUUAAUGAGGAGAAAAGUCGCUAGAUAUGGAUCAUGUUUAUGUUUUAAUGUUUUUUAAUUCUAAAUUUUGAUCUAGGGAGCCCUCAGACAUAAGGAGAAACCAAUAUGUUGAAUGAUGGGGUAUUACAUACAGAAGGACCAAGACCUUAUUUUCUCCUACUUAAGAUGGAAUCUUGUUAAGAUGAAAGGACAGCUUUUUAAAAGGAGAAGGUCAUAAGACAGUUUGAGGAAGGCAUUGGAAGAGGAAGAGGGGCAAUGUCUCCUUUGUUUUAUUGUUGGUAUAUAAACUUAAAAUCUCAGUUCUUUUUAUGGCACUUGUGGAGCCACUUCCUCUCCUCACCAAAAAAUGCCCAGUACCCUGAAUCCGAUCAAAUUACUCUCCUAAAGUAUAAGGCUUAGUUUCUGUGUGCUGCUUCGCGAGACAGUUCCCACAAAUCGAGAGUGUUAAUCAGACUUUUGUGUUUUCUUUUUUGGAUUGCUGUUGUUUGUUUUCAUUUAUCAUUUGUCUUUGCCUAAGCCAGGCUCAUCAAGAAUUAACAGCCAUCAGGCUGCCGAUGUGCUGACAGCAGACCCACUUAGAGUCCUGUGUUUGUAAUUCCAUGCAUUUGUUAUUUUACCUGUUUUGUCCCUGCCCCUUCUAGUCCUGUGCCUCCUGAUUGCUGAGUGUUCACCUGGACCUUCUGACUACCUUCCCUGUGCUAUUCCAUCAGCCUACAGACCUGGUACCUGGAUUUUUGCCCGAGAUGAUUCCUACCACCUUACUACUGACGAAGACACCCAUUCCAGUGGACCACUGUGACCCAGGAGGCAUUCAGCCAUCAUGAUGUGGCCUUUACCUCCACUCCUGUCUUGUUCUACCCAGAUUCAGCACAGCCCUUUAUAGUGAAGUCAGAGUCCUCAAGCCAAAUAGCUAAAGCUGUUUUAUCACAACAAAGGCCUAGUUUGUUCCAUGAGUGUGCAUUUCAUUUCUUCAGUUAAAGCCUUCAGAGACACACAAUAAAUUUGGACCAGGGGAUUUUUUAGUUAUUAAUGCUCUCUGAAGAAAGGCAACAUCUUUUUGAGAGCAGCAUUGGACCACACCCCACAAUCUCAAAUGAUUGAAAUUCAUGAACAUCUAGGAUCCCGUGAAGGUCACUGGACCCUGUUUUUUCUACUUCAAAUCCUGUAGUAGCCUACUGAAUGAGAAAACAUAUUCUGACCCAUUGGGAUCAAAUCAAAGGCACAGUGAACUCCUCAUAGCAUCUUCUUUGGAAUUACUCAGGAACCAGAACUUUUUACACAAAUGUAAGAAAUUCUACCAAGGAGUCCCCUUACCUAACAGCAUCUCACAAGGCUGCACCAGAUUCCAGAAAAGGCUUCUCUUGAUACAUCAAGGUAGAACCUCUAUGCAUUUUGUGACCGACUUAUUCUUAGAUCAUUGGUUUUCCAAAGGCUUUGUGGCCAUGAAGCCCUUUGAGUGAAAACUGUGCAGAAGCCCAGAGUAAAAGUGAAGCUGCUCUGGAUGAAGUAGUGAAGCAAGAGUAGGGGCCUGAAUCCUGCUACAACUAUCUUCCUUUACCACCGUGGUGACACCUAAGGGGACUUCCUUACAACACCUUGAACUCUUCCGAACACAGUUUGAAAACCACUGCCCCAGACAGCAAUAUGUUUGACCUGAAUGGCAUUCCAAUCUUUUCUGUACCUCCACUCAGCACAGUUCAUGUUCAGUAGAUGCUGAACAUUCUUAGAAAUACUGUGUGUGAACUUAGAAAAGUGCAAGAAGACAGGCAUGUCUUUGACCCCAGGAAUGAUCAUUUGCUGAAGAUGGUGUCAAGUGAACCUAGAUUAACAGCCCUCCACUCCAGAUGGAUAUCCAGUGAUUCCUAGAAUGGGAUAUAGCCAGAGAACAAUUCUAUGCACCCUACACUGACAGACUCCCUUAAGCAACACCAGAUGCUCUACUGGUACUUGAAGUACAUGACUUUGAAGUCUUGACCCUCCAUGAAUACCUGAAUUAUCAGCAAGCGGGUUUUGAAGCUGGUGCCUCAUUGAGGCCAUAUUAGAGCAACUUGUACAUUUGACCUCUUGUUAUCAGCCAUGGUACUCUACUUCGUGUGCAAGAGAUAACUAUGAAAGCCAAAUUCAAAUACUGGCAACAUUUCCUAAAGGGGCUCAAUAUCUAUCAUUCGUCUUCUUUUCCAAACUACACAUCACUGUAUGACUCAACCAGUAGCAGUUAUAUUGCCCCUUGGUUUUUAUUCAGUUUAACUACUGUUUCCAAGAUAAAUGAGCUAAUAAGCUUUAAAAAAAAAAAAAAAAAAGGCUGAAUUCUUUUUUCUUCAUCACUGGCAUAUCUGCCUAUUCUCCAGAAUUAUUAUGACUAUUCAGCUCACUUUAACAGUUGAACUUCAAGCGACAAUCUUUGAACACCCCUUCUCAUGUGAUUUAAAAUGAAACCAUUUGGAAAAGUUUCUUCUAGCCAGUAAUAGAUUUUUUUUUUAAUUGCUCUGCCUUGUGCCGAGAGAUGUUCUUUUAAGAUGAAUCUUUUGAUGUCUGAUACCACCAAAUAUAGGUGGUAGGGAGAGUUGGAGGCUGGCCCUUUGAGCAGGCCAUUAGCUUACUUGCUGGGCAUUUCCGAUAGCUUAUUGCCUACCUUUUUGCUGGAAACAAACUGAUUUGAAAAACAAAAUCUAUGAAGACUGCAGCUAAGGAUUUUAUCGGUAGACUUAAGAGCUUUUGUCCUUGUGGAUAUUUUAGUGGAACCACAUCAGUCUCAAUACUGUCAUUUUACACUGACUCAGAGCAGCUGACUUCAUUCCUUGCCAUGAUAUAUAUUUAAGGCAGGCAUUGUAACAGACAUAAAGACAACUUAUCUGUUUCAGCAGGAAGGAUUCAGUUUAUGAACUCUCAGACCAGAUCAUGUUGAACAAGGAGACUUUGAUGUGUGUCAUGAGAAAACUCAUUCUUUACUUCCCAGUCAAUUUAAAGGCCAGCUAUCCUGAGCUACUCGAAUGAAUGCACUGGUUAAACAUUGGAAAUAGUUUGUUUAUAUCCUUGUCUCUCUCUAGGCCAAUUGUGAUUACAUGACUCGACUCUACAUCUCGUCAAACAAGGCCUAGGUCUGGUUGCUGUAGACUGCUCGCCCUCAACAAAUAAAAUCUGGUUGACUAGCCUCCUUGUAUAUACAACUAUUAUUUGUUAAGAAGAAAUUAUCGUCAAUUUUCUACUACCUUCCAAUUGUCAGCUCUUUUUUUCCUCUCUGGUUUUUCCUAUACUUUACAGAAAAAGACAUUGAUCUAUACUGCCAUUCCCUCUAAUCCUGCCAUACUCAGUCAAAAGGAAUGACUUAAGAUGAAGAUGAUCAUCUGCUCGAGUCUAAAAUAUACAUUGUAUAUAAGAAUUGGUGAUUAGAAAAGCAAAAAACCUAAAACUUAAAUCUAGGAGUCUGUAUACUGUCUCCAUGUCUCCAUGCCUCAGAUCUCAUCUAAAUCUUUGAACAGCACCAUUCAACCAAUCUGAGGCCUUGACUUGCUUGUAAGAUGAUUCUCAGAGAUCGGCUGAGUUAAAAAAGAUGACGACUUGAUUACCAAAGAAAGUAGGGCCAACUUUGACAAAUCUGGCUCUGCUGACCCUGUCACUCCCAGAUGUAGCAUAGACUCCUAAACAGAACCUCAAGUCUGAUUGAGGAUAAGGCCUUCUCCUGAGCUGAAAGUUCUUUGGCAGAUGAGCAAGAAACUGAAAGCUGAUGUACCUGACUGGCUCUGUAAGAUCAGAAAACUGUAUCCAGAAUAAGCCCUAUGGAUUAACCCCUGAGUACCCAGAGUAAAAACUAAUUUACAGAACUUCCUUAUUGAUCUGCUGGUUCUUCCAGAUCAUAUUCUGGCUAUUGGUAUGGCUGGCCUUUCUGAAGGUACCCUGCUUGUCUAUUUUCCUGACUCAGCUCUUGCCUGCCUUUUUCACAUGUUGCUGCAAUUAGACUCACCGUGAGGACUACAGUCAAUUUCAGUCUAUCUUGUGCCCAAUACAACAAGGAUUUUUAAUAGUAACAACCCACACCUCACCCACUAGGACUCAAUGUUCACAACAGGAAGGACCAUUGCUGCAUACUCCUUGACCAGCAACUUUUUUGAAGAUAUUUUUAAGUGCAGAGUAGGCCUCUAUUCCUGUAUGUAAUUGUUCAUUUUCAGCACCUGGAACCUCAUCUAUCGGGUCUGGAAGGAAUACAGCAGUUCGAAAGCCGCGUCCAUUUCUCUCCUUCAGUAGUGCAGAAAUGAGUCCGAUUCACCAGUACACACAGAACUGUACCAGUUCAACCUAGCAAAAGAAGAAAAGUUUCCACUGUACUUAAAAUUUACAGCUGACUCAAAUUGCCUCACAGAAUUAUUUGAUGUAGAAGGCUAGUUGUCUUACUUCAGAUCAGCAGGACAGUUGGGCUCUCAGACUCAUGACCACUGAGUUUGCUUGUGUUGAAACUGUGGUUUCAUCCAACAUAUGCUAUUGGACAUGAUUAUUAUUCCAUUCAAAUGGAUUACAGACUUCUUGAGGACAGGACAAACUUAUCUCUCAUGGUGUUUUUUUAGAAUACUUUUAUAACCAAGGAAGAAACCAUGCCAGCUGUUACCAUUCAACUUCUUAAGCAGAGAUUAAGCUUUUUCAUAUCUGUUCUUAUCCUGGACAUCAGUAGUUUUUAAUUGCCCAGCAUCCGUUCCAUCUUGUAACAACUCCCUGAUGUUUCUUAAAACCACCUCUUCCUAUUUUCAGUCUGUGGUUUGGACAGUCUGACCCAACCUUGAGCUUUGUGGGUGAACAUGUAAUUCAGACCUCAUCAAUCAGCAAAUCCAUCUGAACUGUGGAGGAGAAGCUCUCUUUACUGAGGGUGCUUUAGCUUUGUAGGAUGAAAACCUCAAACUAACAGGGCCUACCAUGUAGAGAAUGAAGCCAGUGCAGGGGAAAGCAGAGCCAAAAUAUGGAGAGACUUGAAUCCUGAUGACAGCGUUUGUGCCCCUGGAUCCAACCGUGCCUGAAGCUAGAAUAUCCCCUGGACUUUUCAGUUAUGUGAACCAAUAAAUACCCUUUUUUGCUUAAGUUACUUUGAGUUGGGUUUCUGUUACUUGAAAUUGAAUCCACACUAAUAUAUCUACCAACAUUGAGACUUGACAGAUCCAAGUAUUUAUUAAGCUAGAGGUCAUGGUCACUGAAAUUACUUUCCAAAGUGGAAGACAAAAUGAAACAGGAACUGAGGGAAUAUUUAAGAUCCCACAGAAGCGUAAAAAUGACAUGGUAGAAAGUAAUAGAAAACCUAAAUGUCUGUCAUUAAAGGAUAGGUUAAGGUGUGGUUCAGCCAUAUAGGAAUAUCUCGUAUCUGUUAAAAUGAAUAAAGUACAUUCAUUGUGUAUGGAAAAAUGGCCAUGAUACAUUAGGUGAAACAAGUUAUUAAUAGAAAAGUGUACAGUGUGAACUCAUUUUAAAAUGUGUGUGCUUAUGUUUAUAAAUGCAUAGAAAGGUCUAUUCACAGCUUUCUUUGAACAGUGUAGAUCACAUGAAACUUUCAACUUUAUACAUUUCUGUAUUAAUAUUUUACACUACCCACAUUAUUUUUAAACUUUAUUUUAAAUAAAGAAUUUUUAAAAUUAAAUUUAGUGCUU
rnacentral:lncRNA from 1 species